rnacentral:rRNA from 1 species
AACGAACGCUGGCGGCAGGCUUAACACAUGCAAGUCGAACGCCCCGCAAGGGGAGUGGCAGACGAGUGAGUAACGCGUGGGAAUCUACCCAGUUCUACGGAACAACUGAGGGAAACUUCAGCUAAUACCGUAUACGCCCUACGGGGGAAAGAUUUAUCGGAAUUGGAUGAGCCCGCGUUGGAUUAGCUAGUUGGUGAGGUAACGGCUCACCAAGGCGACGAUCCAUAGCUGGUCUGAGAGGAUGAUCAGCCACACUGGGACUGAGACACGGCCCAGACUCCUACGGGAGGCAGCAGUGGGGAAUAUUGGACAAUGGGCGCAAGCCUGAUCCAGCCAUGCCGCGUGAGUGAUGAAGGCCUUAGGGUUGUAAAGCUCUUUCAGUGGGGACGAUAAUGACGGUACCCACAGAAGAAGCCCCGGCUAACUUCGUG